GGGUGAGUGGUCCAAGGGUAGCGUACUACGGCUGCGGUGUCCUCACAUAGAGGGCCAGUUCCCGAUUGCUGUGAGAGGCAGUAGUGAUGCGCGGUUCGAAUCCCGCCUCACCCG